rnacentral:rRNA from 1 species
UCUUGGUCAUUUAGAGGAAGUAAAAGUCGAACAAGGUUUCCGUAGGUGAACCUGCGGAAGGAUCAUUAGUGAAUCUUCAAGUCGGCUCGUCGGAUUGUGCUGGUGGAGACACAUGUGCACGUCUGCGGUCGCAAACCCACACACCUGUGCAUCUAUGACUCUGAGUGCCGCUUUGCUGGCCCCUUGAUUUGGGCCUGGCGCUCGAGUACUUUCACACACUCUCGAUGUAAUGGAAUGUCUUGUUGUGCAUAACGUACAAACAGAAACAACUUUCACAACGGAUCUCUUGGCUCUCGCAUCGAUGAAGAACGCAGCGAAAUGCGUAAGUAAUGUGAAUUGCAGAAUUCAGUGAAUCAUCGAAUCUUUGAACGCCCUUGCACCCUUUGGUAUUCCGAAGGGUACGCCCGUUUGAGUGUCAUUGAAUCUCACUACGAUCGACUUUUGUCUUUUCGUAUGUGGACUUGGAUGUGCCGUGAAUAAACAAACGGCUCGUCUGAAAUGCCUGAGUGUACCCCGCUUGCGGCGUAUUCGGUGUGAUAAAUCUUCACCGGAGUUGAUCCCUUUAUGGGUCGCGUCUGUAAUGGUGUGGCUCUAUGCUUCGAACCGUCUCCUAUCGGACAAAUCUCUGACAAUUUGACCUCAAAUCGGGUGGGACUACCCGCUGACUUAAGCAUAUCAAUAAGCGGAGGA